AAUGGGGGAUAACGUAGCGAAAGUUACGCUAAUACCGCAUAUGCCCUGAGGGGGAAAGGUGGGGAUCGCAAGACCUAUCGUUUUCGGAGUGGCCGAUAUCAGAUUAGCUAGUUGGUGGGGUAAAGGCCCACCAAGGCGACGAUCUGUAGCGGGUCUGAGAGGAUGAUCCGCCACACUGGGACUGAGACACGGCCCAGACUCCUACGGGAGGCAGCAGUGGGGAAUUUUGGACAAUGGGGGCAACCCUGAUCCAGCCAUGCCGCGUGAGUGAAGAAGGCCUUCGGGUUGUAAAGCUCUUUCAGCCGGAAAGAAAUCGCGCAGGCUAAUAUCCUGUGUGGAUGACGGUACCGGAAGAAGAAGCACCGGCUAACUACGUGCCAGCAGCCGCGGUAAUACGUAGGGUGCGAGCGUUAAUCGGAAUUACUGGGCGUAAAGCGUGCGCAGGCGGUUUUGUAAGACAGGCGUGAAAUCCCCGGGCUUAACCUGGGAACUGCGUUUGUGACUGCAAGGCUAGAGUGUGGCAGAGGGGGGUAGAAUUCCG
rnacentral:rRNA from 1 species